CACUUAUCGGGUAAGUGUUUGGUAAACGACUCCUUAGUUGAAAGAUGUGGAUGGUCUUGUAAUUACACAAGAAAUGGGUGGUCUCUCUGUGAUUAUUUGAAACAAGGGUGAUCUUCUUGUAAUUACUCAAGAGAUUGGUGGUCUAUUUGUAAUUACUUGGAAAACAUGGGUGAUCUUGUAAUUACUCAAGAGAUGAGUGAUCUUUCUGUAAUUAUUUGAAACAUAGGUGGUUUAUUUAGAAAUAGACCCGUAACGCGUGCCAUUGUUUGCUUUAAAAGCUGUACGCUUCGUUAAGCCCUGAAACACAACAAAACCCUAGAGAUCCACUCGCCGAAACUGGUUAUCGCCGUCGCAAAUUCCGUAAUAGCAGCCGAAUGCAUAUCCUAGAAUGCGAAUCCGUUCAAUCUAUAGAUUCGGUAUGCAUAUAUGCUUAUGCAAAACGUGAAACAGUUGCUCAUGUUGGUGGAUUCUUUUAGUAUGCAUCGGCGAACAUCCUUUUGUUGUGAAUUUGUCUCAUUUUAAACUAUUCAUGUUUAUCCGAUAAAUUUUUGUUCUUCCUUAUAUGCUUCAUACAUAUUUGUUGUCGCAAAUCUUAUAGACUGUUCUUACCCCUAAUAAGAACUUUUUGUUAUGUACACUUCUCUUGGAUUUCUGUUUGUGUUUAAUAUCACCACUAUCUUUUUUUGGUACAAUGGUUUUACACAUUUGACCAUCUAUGUGUUAGGGUACAUUUGGUUGUGAUGUAAAGCUAUUUAGCUUUGGUUUGUUUUUGUUUCUUAUAUUUGCUUCACUGCUGUAUGAAUUACAUUAAAAUUCUCCAUACCCCAAUGAUGAAACAUUUAGUAAUCUGAAUAUGUGCAUGUAAUUUGCAAAGUGGUGCUCCCUUUUGCUUUCUAUAAGCGUAAGGUAGAGGAACUGCGACUACAUGUCAGGCUGAUACUAGGCAUUCUGAGGGAUU